GCAGCCCAGAGGAUUCUGGACAAUCACACUGCGGCUUCAGCCUCAGCUUGCUACAAGGAGGGUCCAUGGAUCCCAAGGCUGCAAUCGAGGCUGCUUGGCAAAGGUUCAAGGCAGGACUUGCAUCCAGAGACGAGGAGGCUGCCCACCCUACUGAAGGAGAAGGCCAAAGGCUCCAAAAGACUGAAAGGCAAGCUGAAAGAAGAGGUCAGACAUCCCAGCACAGCCUGGAGUUUUGCUGUGGCAGAGUCCCAAGGAUCUGGCUCACUUCUGGAGCAUCUCUUCACAA